CAAGCAGAUCACCUUAUCGCUGUCUUGAUCUAUAUCAGGAGAGAGGAAAGUCCGGACACCAUAGCUCAGUAUAGCGGGUAAUGCCCGUCCAUUGCAAAAUGAGGACAAGUGCAACAGAAAGUAUGUACAGGUAAGGCUGUAGUGAAACCAGGUAAACUCUAUACGGUGCAACGUCAUGUAUACUAACUUUUGAGGGUUGAGCGCCCAACGUUAGAGGGUAGACGGUUUGAUUUUGAUAGUAAUGUCAAAACUAGAUAAAUGAUAAGGAUCCACUUUUAUGGUUACAGAAUCCGGCUUAUGAUCUGCUUUUUUA
rnacentral:RNase_P_RNA from 1 species